GAUGAACGCUAGCUACAGGCUUAACACAUGCAAGUCGAGGGGAAACGAUAUUGGAAGCUUGCUUCCGAUAGGCGUCGACCGGCGCACGGGUGAGUAACGCGUAUCCAACCUGCCCAUCACUUGGGGAUAACCUUGCGAAAGUAAGACUAAUACCCAAUGACGUCUCUAGAAGACAUCUGAAAGAGAUUAAAGAUUUAUCGGUGAUGGAUGGGGAUGCGUCUGAUUAGCUUGUUGGCGGGGUAACGGCCCACCAAGGCGACGAUCAGUAGGGGUACUGGUAGGAAGGUCCCCCACAUUGGAACUGAGACACGGUCCAAACGCCUACGGGAGGCAGCAGUGAGGAAUAUUGGUCAAUGGGCGAGAGCCUGAACCAUCCAAGUAGCGUGCAGGAUGACGGCCCUAUGGGUUGUAAACUGCUUUUAUAAGGGAAUGAAGUGAGAGUCGUGACUCUUUUUGCAUGUACCUUAUGAAUAAGGACCGGCUAAUUCCGUGCCAGCCGCCGCAGUAA
rnacentral:rRNA from 1 species